rnacentral:rRNA from 1 species
GACGAACGCUGGCGGCGUGCUUAACACAUGCAAGUCGAACGGAAAGGCCCUGCUUUUGUGGGGUGCUCGAGUGGCGAACGGGUGAGUAACACGUGAGUAACCUGCCCUUGACUUUGGGAUAAAUUCAGGAAACUGGGGCUAAUACAGGAUAGGAGCUCCGGCUGCAUGGUGGGGGUUGGAAAGUUUCGGCGGUUGGGGAUGGACUCGCGUCGUAUCCGCUUGUUGGUGGGGUAGUGGCUUGCCAAGGCUUUGCCGGGUAGCUGGCCUGAGAGGGUGGCCGGCCACAUUGGGACUGAGAUACGGCCCAGACUCCUACGGGAGGCAGCAGUGGGGAAUAUUGCACAAUGGGCGGAAGCCUGAUGCAGCAACGCCGCGUGCGCGAUGACGGCCUUUGGGUUGUAAACCGCUUUCGCCUGUGACGAAGCGUGAGUGACGGUAAUGGGUAAAGAAGCACCGGCUAACUACGUG